CUGAUGCUGUGAUGAUCGCAUAGUUCAGCUGAUAACUGUGACGAAGAAAUAUGUCUUUCGCUCCUAGCUGAUGUGUCAG
ensembl:snoRNA small nucleolar RNA snR60/Z15/Z230/Z193/J17